AGCCUCUCGGGGUCACACCUGGAGAGUUUCCAGUACUCUAUCAGUCUCGGCUACAGGAAGGAGAGUCAAGCAGAGACCUACCCAUGCCAUUCCUGGCUUGGCCCGUGGCAAGCGAGUGGAAGGCAAUCUGCUACAAGU